rnacentral:rRNA from 1 species
GAUGAACGCUGGCGGCGUGCUUAACACAUGCAAGUCGAGCGAAGCGCUUUGAAUUUUUCGGAAUGAGAAGUGACUGAGCGGCGACGGGUGAGUAACGCGUGGGUAACCUGCCUCAUACAGGGGGAUAACAGUGAGAAAUCAUUGCUAAUACCGCAUAUGCUAACAGUAUCGCAUGAUACAGUUAGGAAAGGAGCAAUCCGCUAAUAGAUGGGCUUGCGUCUGAUUAGCUAGUUGGUGGGGUAACGGCCUACCAAGGCGACGAUCAGUAGCCGGACUGAGAGGUUGAACGGCCACAUUGGGACUGAGAUACGGCCCAG